CCUACGGGAGGCAGCAGUGGGGGAUAUUGCACAAUGGGGGGAACCCUGAUGCAGCGACGCCGCGUGGGUGAAGGAGUGCUUCGGCACGUAAAGCCCUAUCGGCAGGGAAGAAGCAAGACGGUACCUGACUAAGAAGCCCCGGCUAACCACGUGCCAGCAGCCGCGGCAAAACGUAGGGGGCGAGCGUUAUUCGGAUUCACUGGGUGUAAAGGGAGCGUAGACGGCGAUGCAAGCCAGGGGUCAAAGCGCGGGGCCCAACCCUGGGACGGCCCUUGGAACUAUGCGGCUAGAGUGCGGGAGGGGCAGGCGGAAUUCCUGGUGUAGCGGUGAAAUGCGUAGAUAUCAGGAGGAACACCGGCGGCGAAGGCGGCCUGCUGGACCGCGACUGACGUUGAGGCUCGAAAGCGUGGGGAGCGAACAGGAUUAGAUACCCGAGUAGUC
rnacentral:rRNA from 1 species